UACGUAGGUGGCAAGCGUUGUCCGGAAUCACUGGGCGUAAAGGGAGCGUAGGCGGGUUUCUAAGUCAGGUGUUUAAUCCCGGGGCCCAACCCCGGACAGGCACUUGAAACUGGGAAUCUUGAAUAGUGGAGAGGUCAGUGGAAUUGGGGGUGUAGCGGUGGAAUGCGUAGAGAUCCCCAAGAACACCAGUUGCGAAGGCGGCUGACUGGACACAUAUUGACGCUGAGGCUCGAAAGCAUGGGGAGCAAACAGG
rnacentral:rRNA from 1 species